rnacentral:lncRNA from 1 species
CUCGGACUUCAGGUGAGGGCCCCCGUGGGGCUGACCCGAGCGAUGCCUGAAGAGCCGUCUCGUCGGACCGCGCCUCCCGGCCCUUCGCCUCCCUUCACAAGCCUCUGUUCCGGGCUUUUUGUUCUUCUUGCCCCGUCACUCGGAGACAAACGGGGGCGAUGGGAACGUGAGGGAGGGCGGAGGACAUCAGGCAAGGAGGCAGUGGCAGAGGAGGCCGGAAGCUCUUUGUCACAGAUCAGAUGGAACUGGAGGCAGGCUCUGGAGCUCAGAAUCUCCUUUGAACACAGCUGGACUCUCAGAGCUUCCAAAGAAUAAUUUUCUUUGGGAAAGAAGAGAAUUGAGGAACUCCCUCCCCACUCUGAGCAUAAAGUUAAAAAUCCAAGUUCUAUCUCAAGGUAUCUUUCAGCAAAAGUGUCAAGAAUUGGCUUUGUG